UUAGGCUUGAUAGGAAAAGGUAUAGGAGGCCGUUAAGGAAGUGAAUCUAGAUUGGUGACUCUAAUCUGCUGCACUAUGUAUUUAUGUUUUUUCUCUUCUUUUUCCAGAUGUCGGCUUUGAUAUCUGCAAACAAGGAGUACAUUCUUCUUUAGCCUCUGCUUCUGUUGUUUUUUUUUCGGGCACCAACAUUAGAGAAAUUAUAAAGCUGAACUGUUGAUUUUUAUGGUAUGUAGAACUUGCAAGAUGAAAUGAUGGACCUGAUGGAUGUGAGUAAUGAAAUCCAAGAGACCCUGGGUAGAAGCUAUAAUGUGCCUGAUGACAUUGAUGAGGAUGAACUCAUUGGCGGUUGAAGAGGAGCUGGGUUUACCAACAUUGCCUCGGGCAUCUCUUCGUGGUUAGGGAAUGACUUUGCUGUUGCACUAUUGUCAUUUGAACACUGGCUGCGAAGCCUUUUUGUAAAGAUCUAUUGUGUAAAGAUCGAAUGUAGUCGUCUUCUGGCUUCUUCAAUUUUGCCGAUUCUCUUAAAUGUAUUCAACCCCACCUCAUAUCUAACCAACCUCUCUAUUUCAAUGUCAUAAUCCUCUGGGAAUAAACAACAAAGUAGGAAGCUA